UACGUAGGUGACAAGCGUUGUCCGGAUUUACUGGGCGUAAAGAGCGCGCAGGCGGUCGAUCAAGUCGCGUGUGAAAGCCCCCGGCUCAACUGGGGAGGGUCACGCGAUACUGAUCGACUCGAAGGCAGGAGAGGGUAGUGGAAUUCCCGGUGUAGUGGUGAAAUGCGUAGAUAUCGGGAGGAACACCAGUGGCGAAGGCGACUACCUGGCCUGUUCUUGACGCUGAGGCGCGAAAGCUAGGGGAGCAAACGGGG
rnacentral:rRNA from 1 species